rnacentral:ncRNA from 1 species
AUAUAGCUGCUACCGAGUAGCUGAAUGCAAAGCAUUCGUUUACACAUCGUUAGGUCUUAGAAGAUGUGUAUGCGAAUGCUUUUUUUAU